GGUUUUUAUGCGCACGACUUUUGGCACUAAUUUAACGCCAUAGAAACCCCUCAGACUGACCCAGAACCCCGGCAUAUAGACAGAGGUCUCUGGCAGAGUCCUUUCGGAGACGCGAAGAAUAUCCAGGGUUACAGAGAGGAGGCCUGAAGCCUGUUCCAGACAAGCCAGGGCAGGCGGCAGGGGAAGACUCUGGAUGGCAUGGAAGUUCACCAGAGGACACACACAUGUUACAAGGAACACAUGUGAAAGAACUCCACUGCGGGGUCUCAGAGUUCCCAUAUCCAUGAUCUCAAAGGACUGGCCGGGGACCAGGUGGAAAUGAAAUCUCUGCACCAGUUUGGCUAGCACAACCUUUGC